AACGCGAAGAACCUUACCGAGGCUUGACAUCCCUGGAAUCUGUUGGAAACAACGGAGUGCCCUCGGGAAUCAGGUGACAGGUGCUGCAUGGCCGUCGUCAGCUCGUGUCGUGAGAUGUUGGGUUAAGUCCCGCAACGAGCGCAACCCUUGUCGUGUGUUGAAUUUUUCACACGAGACUGCCCGGGCCAACCGGGAGGAAGGUGGGGAUGAUGUCAGGUCAGCAUGGCCCUUACGCCUCGGGCCACACCCGUGCUACAAUGGCCGGUACAACGCGUUGCCAAGUCGCAAGAUGGAGCUAAUCGCAUCAAAACCGGUCCCAGUUCGGAUCGGGGGCUGCAACUCGCCCCCGUGAAGUUGGAAUCGCUAGUAAACGUGGGUCAGCAUACCACGUUGAAUACGUUCCCGGGCCUGUACACACCGUAGUAC
rnacentral:rRNA from 1 species